CUGUGACUCCGGAGAGGCUUACGGAGGACACUCGAUCCUGUCCCAGUUUUGCUGCAUGACCUUGACGGGUUCCUGCGCCCCUCUGGCCCAUGACCCCUCCACCUGUGUACAAGGGAGAGGGCCAACCUGGGGGAGCUGUUUGCAGGCGUGGCGGGGGACUUUUGGGAGGGGAGCUAGGGUGGGUGACGGAGCCGUGCCUGCUACCUCUCGGCUCAGCCCAACCGGAAAGGGUGUCGAGAAGUGUUCCUCCUUUUAAUUUGGGCCCUGAGCCUGUUACCCAUGGGACCCAUAGGAAGGUCUCAGGCCAGGCUGGAGUCAGCCCCUUCCAGGCUAUGGGCGUCAAGACAGCGCUGCCGGCAGCGGAGCUGGGCCUGUACUCCCUGGUGCUGAGUGGGGCCCUGGCCUAUGCUGGACAGGGCCUGCUUGAAGCUUCACAAGAUGGGGCCCAUAGGAAGGCCUUCCGGGAGUCCGUGCGGCCCGGCUGGGAGUACAUUGGCCGGAAGAUGGACGUGGCCGACUUUGAGUGGGUGAUGUGGUUCACCUCCUUCCGCAACGUCAUCAUCUUCGCCCUCUCCGGACAUGUGCUGUUUGCUAAACUCUGCACCAUGGUAGCCCCCCAGCUCCGCUCCUGGAUGUACGCUGUGUACGGGGCCCUGGCCGUGGUGGGCACCAUGGGCCCUUGGUACCUGCUGCUGCUGCUCGGCCACUGUGUCAGCCUCUAUGUGGCCUCGCUCUUGGGUCAGCCCUGGCUCUGUCUUGGCCUCGGCAUGGCCAGCCUUGCCUCCUUCAAGCUGGACCCCCUAAUCUCCUGGCAGAACGGGUUUGUAACGGGCACUUUUGAUCUUCAAGAGGUGCUGUUUCACGGGGGCAGCGGUUUCACAGUGCUGCGCUGCACCAGCUUUGCGCUGGAGAGCUGUGCCCACCCUGACCGCCGCUACUCCCUCGCCGACCUGCUCAAGUACAACUUCUACCUGCCUUUCUUCUUCUUCGGGCCCAUCAUGACCUUUGAUCGCUUCCACGCCCAGGUGAGCCAGGUGGAGCCGGUGAGGCGCGAGGGCGAGCUCUGGCACAUCCAGGCCCAGGCGGGCCUCAGCGUGGCGGCCAUCCUGGCGGUGGAUAUCUUCUUUCACUUCUUCUACAUCCUCACCAUCCCCAGUGACCUCAAGUUUGCCAGCCGCCUGCCGGACAGUGCCCUUGCUGGCCUCGCCUACUCAAACCUGGUGUAUGACUGGGUGAAGGCGGCCGUCCUCUUUGGUGUCGUCAAUACGGUGGCGCGCCUUGACCACUUGGACCCGCCCCAGCCUCCCAAGUGCAUCACAGCACUCUACGUCUUCGCAGAAACGCACUUUGACCGUGGCAUCAACGACUGGCUUUGCAAGUACGUGUACGACCACAUUGGUGGGGAGCACUCUGAGGUAAUCCCAGAGCUGGUGGCCACAGUGGCCACCUUUGCCGUCACUACUCUGUGGCUUGGGCCUUGUGAGAUUGUCUACCUGUGGUCCAUCCUCAACUGCUUUGGCCUCAACUUUGAGCUCUGGGUGCAGAAGCUGGCAGAGUGGGGGCCCGUAGCACGAAUUGAGAGAGCUGACCUGGGACUCUCAGAGACCUCAGGGACCACGCGGGCAAGACCUCUGACCACCCAUGUCCUCUUUCCCCUGGGCCUCUUGCCGCACGGACAAUGCCUUCCUGGACCGGGCAGGCCUCUCUGUCGGAGCAGAUGUCCCGCCGGGUCCGGGCCAUCUUCGGAGCCAUGAACUUCUGGGCUAUCAUCAUGUACAACCUUGUAAGCCUCAACAGCCUGGAGUUCACAGAGCUGGUCGCCCGGCGCCUGCUACUCACAGGGUUUCCCCAGACCACACUGGCCGUCCUGUUUGUCACCUACUGUGGUGUUCAGUUGGUGAAGGAGCGAGAGCGAACCCUGGCGCUAGAGGAGGAGCAGAAGGAGGACAAAUUGAAGCCGGAGUAGGUGGGAGGGGGCAGGGACAGCCCUGCUCAGCCAUUCCUGGGCCCAGGCCAGGCCGGGCCAGGCGGGGCCCGACGGAAAGAAUAAAAGACUUUUCUACCA